rnacentral:rRNA from 1 species
AAGCGUGCGCAGGCGGUUUUGUAAGUCAGAUGUGAAAUCCCCGAGCUCAACUUGGGAACUGCGUUUGAAACUACAAGACUAGAAUAUGUCAGAGGGGGGUAGAAUUCCACGUGUAGCAGUGAAAUGCGUAGAGAUGUGGAGGAAUACCAAUGGCGAAGGCAGCCCCCUGGGAUAAUAUUGACGCUCAUGCACGAAAGCGCGGGGAGCAAACAGGAUUAGAUACCCUGGUAGUCCACGCCCUAAACGAUGUCUACUAGUUGUUGGUGGAGUAAAAUCCAUGAGUAACGCAGCUAACGCGUGAAGUAGACCGCCUGGGGAGUACGGUCGCAAGAUUAAAACUCAAAUGAAUUGACGGGGGCCCGCACAAGCGGUGGAUUAUGUGGAUUAAUUCGAUGCAACGCGAAAAACCUUACCUGGCCUUGACAUGUAACGAACUUUCCAGAGAUGGAUUGGUGCUCGAAAGAGAGCGUUAACACAGGUGCUGCAUGGCUGUCGUCAGCUCGUGUCGUGAGAUGUUGGGUUAAGUCCCGCAACGAGCGCAACCCUUGCCAUUAAUUGCCAUCAUUUAGUUGGGCACUUUAAUGGGACUGCCGGUGACAAACCGGAGGAAGGUGGGGAUGACGUCAAGUCCUCAUGGCCCUUAUGGCCAGGGCUUCACACGUAAUACAAUGGUCGGUACAGAGGGUUGCCAAGCCGCGAGGUGGAGCCAAUCCCAGAAAGCCGAUCGUAGUCCGGAUUGUAGUCUGCAACUCGACUACAUGAAGUCGGAAUCGCUAGUAAUCGCGGAUCAGCAUGUCGCGGUGAAUACGUUCCCGGGCCUUGUACACACCGCCCGUCACACCAUGGGAGUGGGUUUUACCAGAAGUAGGUAGUCUAACCUUCGGGAGGACGCUUACCACGGUAGUAUUCAUGACUGGGGUGAAGUCGUAACAAGGUA